GAUGAAGAACGUAGCGAAAUGCGAUACUUGGUGUGAAUUGCAGAAUCCCGUGAACCAUCGAGUCUUUGAACGCAAGUUGCGCCCGAAGCCACUAGGCCGAGGGCACGCCUGCCUGGGCGUCACACGCCGUUGCCCCCCCAUCUACUCCUUCGGGAUUGCGGGGGGGCGGAUGAUGGCCUCCCGUGCGCCUAGCCGCGCGGUUGGCAUAAAUACCAAGUCCUCGGCGACGCACGCCACGACAAUCGGUGGUUGCGAAACCUCGGUUGCCCGUCGUGUGCGUUCGUCGCGCAUCGAGGGCUCGAAAAAAUGCUCGGCUCCGGCUGGGCUUUCAACGCGACCCCAGGUCAGACGGGGUUACCCGCUGAAUUUAAGCAUAUCAAUAAGCGGAGGA
rnacentral:misc_RNA from 1 species